GAUGAAGAACGUAGCGAAAUGCGAUAAGUAAUGUGAAUUGCAGAAUUCAGUGAAUCAUCGAAUCUUUGAACGCACAUUGCGCCCGCCAGUAUUCUGGCGGGCAUGCCUGUUCGAGCGUCAUUACAACCCUCAGGCCCCCGGGCCUGGCGUUGGGGAUCGGCGGAGCCCCCCGUGGGCACACGCCGUCCCCCAAAUACAGUGGCGGUCCCGCCGCAGCUUCCAUCGCGUAGUAGCUAACACCUCGCGACUGGAGAGCGGCGCGGCUACGCCGUAAAACACCCAACUCUUCUGAAGUUGACCUCGAAUCAGGUAGGAAUACCCGCUGAACUUAAGCAUAUCAAUAAGCGGAGGA
rnacentral:misc_RNA from 1 species